rnacentral:rRNA from 1 species
GGUUAAGCGACUAAGCGUACACGGUGGAUGCCCUGGCAGUCAGAGGCGAUGAAGGGCGUGCUAAUCUGCGAUAAGCGCCGGUAAGGUGAUAUGAACCGUUAUAACCGGCGAUACCCGAAUGGGGAAACCCAGUGUGAUUCGUCACACUAUCAUUAACUGAAUCCAUAGGUUAAUGAGGCGAACCGGGGGAACUGAAACAUCUAAGUACCCCGAGGAAAAGAAAUCAACCGAGAUUCCCCCAGUAGCGGCGAGCGAACGGGGAGGAGCCCAGAGCCUGAAUCAGCAUGUGUGUUAGUGGAAGCGUCUGGAAAGGCGCGCGAUACAGGGUGACAGCCCCGUACACAAAAGCGCAUGUGCUGUGAGCUCGAUGAGUAGGGCGGGACACGUGGUAUCCUGUCUGAAUAUGGGGGGACCAUCCUCCAAGGCUAAAUACUCCUGACUGACCGAUAGUGAACCAGUACCGUGAGGGAAAGGCGAAAAGAACCCCGGCGAGGGGAGUGAAAAAGAACCUGAAACCGUGUACGUACAAGCAGUGGGAGCCCCACCACUAAGCCAGUGGUGAACUCC